CGGCCCGAUCCUCCCACCCUUUGUGUACCCACCUCUGUUGCUUUGGCGGGCCGCGGUCCUCCGCGGCCGCCCUCCGUCCGGGGGGUGGCCAGCGCCCGCCAGAGGACCAUCGAACUCCGGUCAGUGAACGUUGCCGUCUGAAAAACAAUCAAUAAACUAAAACUUUCAACAACGGAUCUCUUGGUUCUGGCAUCGAUGAAGAACGCAGCGAAAUGCGAUAAGUAAUGUGAAUUGCAGAAUUCAGUGAAUCAUCGAAUCUUUGAACGCACAUUGCGCCCCUCGGUAUUCCGAGGGGCAUGCCUGUUCGAGCGUCAUUACAACCCUCAAGCUCUGCUUGGUGUUGGGCACCGCCCUUCCGCGGGCGCGCCUCAAAGACCUCGGCGGUGGCGUCUUGCCUCGAGCGUAGUAGAAAACACCUCGCUUUGGAGCGCACGGCGCCGCCCGCCGGACGAACCUUUUGAACUUUCUCAAGGUUGACCUCGGAUCAGGUAGG
rnacentral:rRNA from 1 species